CCUUCGGAUUCGCGGGAUUGGGAUCUCUUGGUGUACUUUUUCGUACGGUUAGUCAACAUCGGUUUUGAAUGUCAUAAAAUGACUGGAGGAAUGUAGCUUCGAUCUCGUAUUGAAGUGUUAUAGCCUUUGGUAGAUGUGAUGUUUGAGACCGAGGAUUGCAACGGAUACCCUUCAGGGCUAUUCGUCUGAUCUCUGAUACGUUGCCUUGAUGUUGAAAGCUUGCUUAUGAUGUUAGGGUAUUACGGUCAAAAGGUUAGAACGAAUUACA
rnacentral:rRNA from 1 species